GACGAACGCUGGCGGCGUGCUUAACACAUGCAAGUCGAACGGAAAGGCCUCUUUCGGGGGGUACUCGAGUGGCGAACGGGUGAGUAACACGUGAGUAACCUGCCCUUGACUUUGGGAUAACUUCAGGAAACUGGGGCUAAUACCGGAUAGGAGCUCCUGCUGCAUGGUGGGGGGUGGAAAGUUUCGGCGGUUGGGGAUGGACUCGCGGCUUAUCAGCUUGUUGGUGGGGUAGUGGCUUACCAAGGCUUUGACGGGUAGCCGGCCUGAGAGGGUGACCGGCCACAUUGGGACUGAGAUAAGGCCCAGACUCCUACGGGAGGCAGCAGUGGGGAAUAUUGCACCAUGGGUGGAAGCCUGAUGCAGCAACGCCGUGUGCGGGAUGACGGCCUUCGGGUUGUAAACCGCUUUCGCUCAUGACGAAGCUUUGUGUGACGGUAGUGGGUAAAGAAGCACCGGCUAACUACGUG
rnacentral:rRNA from 1 species